rnacentral:ncRNA from 1 species
UUUAUUUAGAGUUUGAUCUUAGCUCAGGAUGAAUGCUGGCGGCGUGGAUAAGGCAUGCAAGUCGAAUGGGUGUACCUCACUGCGUUU